rnacentral:rRNA from 1 species
UGGGGAAUUUUGGACAAUGGGCGCAAGCCUGAUCCAGCAAUGCCGCGUGAGUGAAGAAGGCCUUCGGGUUGUGAAGCUCUUUUGUCAGGGAAGAAACGGCUGUGGCUAAUAUCCACGGCUAAUGACGGUACCUGAAGAAUAAGCACCGGCUAACUACGUGCCAGCAGCCGCGGUAAUACGUAGGAUGCAAGCGUUAAUCGGAAUUACUGGGCGUAAAGCGUGCGCAGGCGGUUUUGUAAGUCUGACGUGAAAUCCCCGGGCUUAACCUGGGAAUUGCGUUGGAGACUGCAAGGCUAGAAUCUGGCAGAGGGGGGUAGAAUUCCACGUGUAGCAGUGAAAUGCGUAGAGAUGUGGAGGAACACCGAUGGCGAAGGCAGCCCCCUGGGUCAAGAUUGACGCUCAUGCACGAAAGCGUGGGGAGCAAACAGGAUUAGAUACCCUGGUAGUCCACGCCCUAAACGAUGUCUACUAGUUGUCGGGUCUUAAUUGUAC